rnacentral:rRNA from 1 species
AGUGAACGCUGGCGGUAGGCCUAACACAUGCAAGUCGAACGGCAGCACAGUAAGAGCUUGCUCUUACGGGUGGCGAGUGGCGGACGGGUGAGGAAUACAUCGGAAUCUACUUUUUCGUGGGGGAUAACGUAGGGAAACUUACGCUAAUACCGCAUACGACCUACGGGUGAAAGCAGGGGAUCUUCGGACCUUGCGCGAUUGAAUGAGCCGAUGUCGGAUUAGCUAGUUGGCGGGGUAAAGGCCCACCAAGGCGACGAUCCGUAGCUGGUCUGAGAGGAUGAUCAGCCACACUGGAACUGAGACACGGUCCAGACUCCUACGGGAGGCAGCAGUGGGGAAUAUUAGACAAUGGGCGCAAGCCUGGUCCAGCCAUACCGCGUGGGUGAAGAAGGCCUUCGGGUUGUAAAGCCCUUUUGUUGGGAAAGAAAAGCAGCAGGUUAAUACCCCGCUGUUCUGACGGUACCCAAAGAAUAAGCACCGGCUAACUUCGUG